CGGAGAAAGCUUUAUGCACCAUUGGAUGAGCCUGCACUUGAUUAGUUUGUUGGUGGGGUAAUGGCCUACCAAGACUGUGAUCAAUAGCUGAUUUGAGAGGAUGAUCAGCCACAUUGGGACUGAGACACGGCCCAAACUCCUACGGGAGGCAGCAGUGGGGAAUCUUGC
rnacentral:rRNA from 1 species